rnacentral:rRNA from 1 species
UUUUCCUACGGGGCGCAGCAGUGGGGAAUAUUGCACAAUGGGGGAAACCCUGAUGCAGCAACGCCGCGUGAGUGAGGAAGUAUUUCGGUAUGUAAAGCUCUAUCAGCAGGGAAUAGAAAAGAAGGUACCUGCAAAGGAAGCACCGGCUAACUCCGUGCCAGCAGCCGCGGUAAUACGGAGGGUGCGAGCGUUAAUCGGAAUUACUGGGCGUAAAGCGCUCGUAGGCGGUAUGUCAAGUCAAGGGUGAAAUCCACGCGCUCAACGUGGGAACUGCCUUUGAAACUGGCAAACU